UACGGGGGUGCGAGCGUUGUCCGGAAUCACUGGGCGUAAAGGGCGCGUAGGUGGUUUGAUAAGGUGUGGUGAAAGUCCGGGGCUCAACCCCGGAUCUGCCGUGCCGACUGUCAAACUCGAGGGCUGUAGAGGCAGACGGAAUUCCUGGUGUAGCGGUGAAAUGCGCAGAUAGUCAGGAAGAACACCCGUGGCGAAGGCGGCUCACUGGCCGAUACUGACGCUGAGGCACGAAGACGUGGGGAGCA
rnacentral:rRNA from 1 species